rnacentral:rRNA from 1 species
AGUGAACGCUGGCGGUAGGCCUAACACAUGCAAGUCGAACGGCAGCACAUUAAGAGCUUGCUCUUACGGGUGGCGAGUGGCGGACUGGUGAGUAAUACAUCGGAAUCUACUUUUUCGUGGGGGAUAACGUAGGGAAACUUACGCUAAUACCGCAUACGACCUACGGGUGAAAGCAGGGGAUCUUCGGACCUUGCGCGAUUGACUGAGCCGAUGUCGGAUUAGCUAGUUGGCGGGGUAAAGGCCCACCAAGGCGACGAUCCGUAGCUGGUCUGAGAGGAUGAUAAGCCACACGGGAAAUGAGACACGGUCCAGACGCCUACGGGAGGCACAAAUGGGGAAUGUUAGGCAAAGGGCGCAAGCCUGAUCCAGCCAGACCGCGUGGGUGAAGAAGGCCUUCGGGUUGUAAAGCCCUUUUGUUGGGAAAGAAAAGCAGCAGGUUAAUACCCCGCUGUUCUGACGGUACCCAAAGAAUAAGCACCGGCUAACUUCGUG